GAUGAACAGCAGCAUGGAAGUGUAAGCCGAAUAAACCCUUUCCUCCCCAACUUGCUUCUUGGUCAUGAUGUUUGUGCAGGAAUAGAAACCCUGACUAAGACAAAUUGGUACCAGGAGUGGGGUAUUCCUGUGACAACCUGACCAUGUUUUGGGGAGGUCUGUGGAAGGACUUUGCAACUUUGGUCUUGAAGAUCCAUUUGUUGUUAAGAGCUCUGUGGGAUGUUGUGUAGGAGCUUGGAAGAUAAUGUUGAGAACAGUGCAGAAGAUGGAGGCCUGGCUUGUGAAAUUUCAGAGGGAAAAUUAAAGACUCUUUUCAGGGCCAUUUCUGUUUUGAUUGUGAAGAUUCUGUAGUUCUGGUUAGCUGGGGCUGAAGAAUCAGCUGUGAUUAACAAGAUACCAGAACUACUGAAGCAAAAGCUUUGCAUUACUGGGACUAUUGAUGCUGGUUAGCUGGAGCUAAGAAAUUAGCGGUGAUUAAGAAGAGACCAGCAUCAUUGAGGUGACAUCUUCUGGGAAGUGUUUUCUGAGAGCACAGUGGCUGUGUUCCAGAUAUAGCCAAAGUUGUACCUUGUGCUGUGGCUGGACUUGGUAAUGUGUAAGAGUCACCCAGGUGGUACUGGUUUUGAAGGCAUGAAGGAGUUGAGCAGAACAGCUGAGGCUUGGCACUGUGAGAGGCCAUGGAAGGCCAUUGGUGAAAGUCCAGCCUCAUUUGCAAUUGAUGGCCCAGGACUGAAGGGGUCAUGCAGUGUUUUGGAGAUGCCAGUACCAUGAGAUGACCACCAAGAACAGCAGCAGCAGUGGAGUACAGGCAUCUGGAGCCUAGAGGAUGACGCGUGUGCUACAAAGGGCCUGGCUGGAGAAGUGACCCAAGCCCUUGGAGGAGCCCAGAAGAUUGUGAGUUGGAUCCCAGACAUUGGACAGUUGGAGAUUGACUUUUGCUUUUGAUUGUGACUGUGCCCUGAUAUUUUCCCUCUUGAAGGAAGAAACUG
rnacentral:lncRNA from 1 species